UCCCCCGCCGCCGCCGCCGCCGCUAGAACUUCUCGUAGAUUAGGUUGAAGCAAGAAUGGAGAGACCGCCAAGAUGGUCAGGUCAGGUCAGGUCAGGUCAGGUCAGGUCAGGUCAGGUCAGUGAAACCAGCAGUAGUACUAGCAGUUGGUUUUGUCCAAGCAAGCAAGAGCAUCCGCUCUAUGCCCCUUUUGAUUUCUUGCAACUCUGAUGAACGAGCAACCCCGAGGCUCCGGGUGGGGAUUAAGAGUCCAAAUCUCCCCACAUCCAGGCCUCCCAUGUACCAUAUUUUUGCUCAUUUGGUUCAACAAGAAACUUUCCCCAUUUCCCCUUUCUCUCCUCGCCAUUGAUGAGCUGCUUCAGCAAAAUCUUAGUAAUCUGAACUGUCGAUUGAUUCCUGCUGCUAGUUGCAGGACCAAGAAUCUCUUCUUUACUAGUUCUUGUUAUUAAAGCCUGUAGAAAUGAUUAAGUGCCAACCUCGUUGUCGCCUGGCCCAUUUGCCUUGCCUGCUAAGCAAAAGCAUCUGCGCAAAGGCGCCGGGGUUCUGCAAAGCCCUCGCUAACCCUGUUCCCCUGCUGCUCACUCAUGGUGGGCUUCGGUGACACAUCCAUGCGAAAUAUUAGUAGCAAGUACAAUCUUUGUUGUUGUUGUUGUCGUUGGUUGAUUGAUUUGAUUCGAGCUAGCUAGCUAGCUGGAGCAGUUCGCCACACCGAUAAAGCUCGAGCUCAUAAACAGGAAUUAAUCAUCGUAUCUGCAGAGCAACAACCACCGCGACGUGGCGGCAGAACUGGGGAACUGGUGCGAAUUUGACCCGAAAGCGGGAAGCUCCCGUGCGACUGCACUGCUGCUCCCACCUCUCUCUUUCUCGAAAGGGAACCACUACCAUCUUUUGAACCAUGCCUUUUAUUAGUGUUUCUAUUAUCUAUGCUUUGAGAGGGGUAUUUUUUGUGUAUUCAAUUGUGGCAUUGGAGGAGGCAAAAGGAGGAUUAGAUAUUUCCUCCUCCCCAUGUACCGCAUCGGUACUUACCCAAAAGAAUUGCUAAGUGUACUACUGGCGAUUGCAAAGCGGAGGUUAUCCGUGGGCUGGGUAGUUUGUUUCGCUCCCACUGUGACUCUGCUCGGCGAGGACGACGUGUACUCCACAAAAUUAAGCCCUUUAACUUUACCACAUCCAGUACAAAGCUUACGGCACUUUAAUAAGCUAGUACUACGUGCUAGUAGCACCAAAUUCAUCUAAAACUUAUCUUUUUAUCUUUGGGGGGAAGGUUUUGUAGCUUUGCUCCCUCCUCCCAUGUCAUGGCUGAUGUGUAGCACUAGCUGGCGGCCAUGUUGCAACGAAAUUGCAUACGUUAUCCUGGCGCCGGAACGGCUGCGUUUUCCGUUGGGCGGAGAGAAAGCCCGGAACCAAGGGCCACUGUUUGACUGCCCUACAAUGUUGAACCAAGGGCCAAUGCCAAGAAGGUAGGGUGUGUUUGUUUGAUGAUGCCCACGCUACACCAGUUUUUUUUUUUUUUGAGAAACAAAUGUGGUAGUGCUAAUUGGCAAUAGCUGGUUUUUCCCAAAUGGAAUGUGAAAAUUGUUUGAGAAGAAGGGGUGGGGGGACAUGACUCAGGAUGACACCAAUUGGCAGCAAACCAAACAGAGAAGUGGCCAAGAAAGAAUUCAUGGCUUGGCAGCGAACGGAAGGAGAAAAGUCACUGUAGCCGGUGAGCCCGCCGGGAAAGCGGAGGUUGAUGGGGGCACGAAUGACGGGGUAUGUCACUCCUACUACUACUACUACUACUGGUGCUACUGCGACCGGAGGACAGGGAAUUGAUGGGCACAUGCAAUGCACCUGCGCCACUGCCUGCCUGCCUUGCGCGCUUCACUCCCCCUCGCACACACUCGCUCACUGGCGCGCGCGCUGCUCCAGUCCAAGGUACAGGUACAGGGCAGGGCAAGGUCGUAAUGAGGGAGGGCCGCGACGGAAUGGAUCGCCGCAUUUGAUGAUACUGCUGUACUCAUCAGUGAAUUCAUUCAUUCGGUUUAAAUGAACGGCUUCGAUGAUCGCGGGCGUUGCUGCGGAAGGCCAAGGAAUGAGGGGGCCUUUAUGACCCCCGCGUUUGCGUUGCGCACCCAUCGUGGGCUUCUUAUGUUGCGUUCAUGGAAUGUUUUUGCAAGAAAUGGUGCUCCCUCGGAAAAGAAAUGGCAGUACUCCCUCAGUCCAGGCUUAUAUAUUUCCUAAUACGUGCUUCGAAACUUUGUUUUAGUAAUGUACUGUACGAGAUAUAUGCCAUAAUGCCAAAAGGAUUGUACAGCUGGAAACAAAAAAAAAA
rnacentral:lncRNA from 1 species